UUUAACACUUCGCCAAUUAAUUAUAGACUAAAGCGAAAUAGAUUUGAUGUAAUUGCAAAAGGCCUACGGCUACGUAUUCGCUAAUCAAUGGUGGAACUUUAGUCAUUUGGAGAAUUUUAGGGAGAGAAAAAGUGAAGUUUGUGAUGAAAGGUGAGAGUUGUUAAGCAAACGUCAUCGCUACUAGCACCGCAUGUAAACAAAGUUGAGAGGAACGAAUUAAGCAAGCAAGUUUUAAUACUUGAGUCCGCUUUGCUGAGGCGGAGAGGAAGCCAGGAUGUUGUAUAUAAAUACCAUAUAUAAACGGGUAGUCAAAUGGCGACUAAUGAGUAAUGGCCAGGAAAUGUUCAGUUCUUGUAUCAUUUACAUCCGAUACAAUUUUGUCAUUAUAAACAUGCAAGAGAAGGAAUGAGAGUUCUUGCUGUGUGCGGAAUAAUAUUCAGGAUUUCAGCCUCAUGAGUCAUGUUCUCGUUUAUCCUGGACAGGGUAGCUCAAAAAUUCAUGCAAAAUCCUGGUUUCCAUAUGAUCGUGAAAAAUAGAGAUCGUGAGAUCUUUCUCAACGG